AGCGAACGCUGGCGGCAGGCUUAACACAUGCAAGUCGAGCGGGCACUUCGGUGUCAGCGGCAGACGGGUGAGUAACACGUGGGAACGUACCCUUUGGUUCGGAAUAACGCUGGGAAACUAGCGCUAAUACCGGAUACGCCCUUUUGGGGAAAGGCUUGCUGCCGAAGGAUCGGCCCGCGUCCGAUUAGCUAGUUGGUGGGGUAAUGGCCUACCACGGCGACGAUCAGUAGCUGGUCUGAGAGGAUGAUCAGCCACACUGGGACUGAGACACGGCCCAGACUCCUACGGGAGGCAGCAGUGGGGAAUAUUGGACAAUGGGCGCAAGCCUGAUCCAGCCAUGCCGCGUGAGUGAUGAAGGCCUUAGGGUUGUAAAGCUCUUUUGUCCGGGACGAUAAUGACGGUACCGGAAGAAUAAGCCCCGGCUAACUUCGUG
rnacentral:rRNA from 1 species